rnacentral:tRNA from 1 species
ACGAUAAAAAAGAAUAGUUUCGACCUAUUUAUUUGAAGAUGAUAUCUUCUUAUCGAA